rnacentral:rRNA from 1 species
CCUACGGGAGGCAGCAGUGGGGAAUAUUGCACAAUGGGCGCAAGCCUGAUGCAGCCAUGCCGCGUGUGUGAAGAAGGCCUUCGGGUUUUAAAGCACUUUCAGCGGGGAGGAAGGCGGUGAGGUUAAUAACCUCAUCGAUUGACGUUACCCGCAGAAGAAGCACCGGCUAACUCCGUGCCAGCAGCCGCGGUAAUACGGAGGGUGCAAGCGUUAAUCGGAAUUACUGGGCGUAAAGCGCACGCAGGCGGUCUGUCAAGUCGGAUGUGAAAUCCCCGGGCUCAACCUGGGAACUGCAUUCGAAACUGGCAGGCUAGAGUCUUGUAGAGGGGGGUAGAAUUCCAGGUGUAGCGGUGAAAUGCGUAGAGAUCUGGAGGAAUACCGGUGGCGAAGGCGGCCCCCUGGACAAAGACUGACGCUCAGGUGCGAAAGCGUGGGGAGCAAACAGGAUUAGAUACCCCUGUAGUC